CAGCCGCCGCGGGAAUACGUAGGGCGCAAGCGUUAUCCGGAAUUAUUGGGCGUAAAGAGCUCGUAGGCGGUUUGUCGCGUCUGCCGUGAAAGUCCGGGGCUCAACCCCGGAUCUGCGGUGGGUACGGGCAGACUAGAGUGAUGUAGGGGAGACUGGAAUUCCUGGUGUAGCGGUGAAAUGCGCAGAUAUCAGGAGGAACACCGAUGGCGAAGGCAGGUCUCUGGGCAUUAACUGACGCUGAGGUACGAAAGCAUGGGGAGCAAACAGGAUUAGAUACCCCAGUAGUCCCUGUCUCUUAUAA
rnacentral:rRNA from 1 species